GGUGAGAUGGCCGAGCGGUCUAAGGCGCCAGACUAAGGUGAUUACCAAAUCUGGUCCGAAAGGGCGUGGGUUCGAAUCCCACUCUCAUCA
rnacentral:tRNA from 1 species